GGGGCUGUAGCUCAGGGGGAGAGCGUUUCCUUGGCAUGGAAAAGGUCGUGGGUUCGAGUCCCACCAGCUCCACCA
rnacentral:tRNA from 1 species